AUCAUGACGUUGAACAAGAGGAGUAACUAGUGAUUUAUUUUUAGAGAGAGAGCGAAUAGCUGAAACGUUCUUAAUAAUAGCUGGUGAAGGUAGCUUGGAAGUCUUUGUCUUGAAUCUCAUUAUGCUAUUCAAUGAGGGAGUAGAGAUAAACGAGUCGUGAUCGUUAACUCACUUGAGAGGUAGUAGCAAAACUUGCUAGUACAAAUUAGGUGGUACCGCGUAAAUUAUACGUCCUAAAA
rnacentral:ncRNA from 1 species